rnacentral:lncRNA from 1 species
CAAAUUAAACAAAUGUUGGAAUGCAUCAUCCAAUAGUAUUUGAUCACGUGAUUUUAAAUAUUGGUAAAGGAUAUAACAAAUAUACGGGAACUUUUACCGCCCCUGUAAGUGGAAUAUAUGUUUUAACCUUCACUCUCUAUCCAAAUCGAUAUAGCUCCAUAGCAGUGAAUAUCUUCAAGAACAGUGAAGUAAUUGCUCAGAGUUAUAUAGAGAUGACAUCUGGCAUGCUCAGUGGAACAACCCCAGUAGCUGUCGUUGAUAUGAAUGUUGGAGAUACUGCAUUUGUUAGAACCCGUUCCAUUCAUCAACCACAUGGGGAUAUUUUUAG